AUUGAACGCUGGCGGCAUGCUUUACACAUGCAAGUCGAACGGUAACAGGCCGCAAGGUGCUGACGAGUGGCGAACGGGUGAGUAAUGCAUCGGAACGUGCCCAGUCGUGGGGGAUAACGCAGCGAAAGCUGUGCUAAUACCGCAUACGAUCUAUGGAUGAAAGCGGGGGGCCGUAAGGCCUCGCGCGAUUGGAGCGGCCGAUGUCAGAUUAGGUAGUUGGUGGGGUAAAGGCCUACCAAGCCGACGAUCUGUAGCUGGUCUGAGAGGACGGCCAGCCACACUGGGACUGAGACACGGCCCAGACUCCUACGGGAGGCAGCAGUGGGGAAUUUUGGACAAUGGGCGCAAGCCUGAUCCAGCAAUGCCGCGUGCAGGAAGAAGGCCUUCGGGUUGUAAACUGCUUUUGUACGGAACGAAACGGUCUGGGUUAAUACCCUGGGCUAAUGACGGUACCGUAAGAAUAAGCACCGGCUAACUACGUGCCAGCAGCAGCCGCAGUAA
rnacentral:rRNA from 1 species